GCCAGAGGUAAUGGAUCCAAGCAUUUCUAAUAAAUAUGUUUGCCAAUUGGAUUUGAUGAUGUUUGCGUUCCUUGGAGAAAAGCGAAGGACUCAAGAGUGUUCAAGCGAAGGACUCAGAGAGUUCAAGGCCCUAGGCAUGACUGCUCGUUUUUUAGGGUUCAAAUAAUUUGCUACGCUGCUUAUAACGCAGUGGGUGUCGUGGAAUUCUACAAAUAAUUAGGCUACUGGUUUAGGUUUAUUUACUUUUCCGAUUGGAUUAUCUUUGUCAUGGUUUUUUGUGGAUGUCUUUCAAUGCCUAGCUCGUGCUUCAGAAUUUCUUUCAAUGUUUUUUGAUACCUUGCACUGCAGUUCAAUGUUGACAAAUGUAAACUGCUAUUUUGGAAAGAAAUCGUGGAGAUCUAUGUCAACUCACAACCGAUAAAGAAAGAUGGC
rnacentral:misc_RNA from 1 species